UCAACGCUGGCGGCGUGCCUAACACAUGCAAGUCGAACGCGAAAGUCCCGCAAGGGAUAAGUAGAGUGGCAAACGGGUGAGUAACACGUGGGUGACCUGCCUUCGAGUGGGGGAUAACGUCCCGAAAGGGACGCUAAUACCGCAUGACAUCCUGCCUUUGAAGAGGUGGAGAUCAAAGCUGGGGACCGCAAGGCCUGGCGCUUGAAGAGGGGCCCGCGUCUGAUUAGCUAGUUGGUGGGGUAACGGCUCACCAAGGCUUCGAUCAGUAUCCGGCCUGAGAGGGCGGACGGACACACUGGGACUGAGACACGGCCCAGACUCCUACGGGAGGCAGCAGUGGGGAAUUGUUCGCAAUGGGCGCAAGCCUGACGACGCAACGCCGCGUGGAGGAUGAAGAUCUUCGGGUCGUAAACUCCUUUCGUUCGAGACGAAUGGCUUCCGGGUGAACAUCCCGGGAGAAUGACGGUACCGAGAGAAGAAGCCCCGGCUAACUCCGUGCCAGCAGCCGCGGUAAUACGGGGGGGGCAAGCGUUGUUCGGAAUUACUGGGCGUAAAGGGCUCGUAGGCGGCCAACUAAGUCAUACGUGAAAUCCCUCGGCUUAACCGGGGAACUGCGUGUGAUACUGGAUGGCUUGAGAUUGGGAGAGGGAUGCGGAAUUCCAGGUGUAGCGGUGAAAUGCGUAGAUAUCUGGAGGAACACCGGUGGCGAAGGCGGCAUCCUGGACCAACACUGACGCUGAGGAGCGAAAGCCAGGGGAGCAAA
rnacentral:rRNA from 1 species